GACAGAGGGUGCAAACGUUGUUCGGAUUUACUGGGCGUAAAGCGCGUGUAGGCGGCUUGGCAAGUCGGAUGUGAAAGCCCACGGCUCAACCGUGGAAGCGCACCCGAAACGGCCUCGCUCGAGUCUCGGAGAGGAAGGUGGAAUGCUUGGUGUAGAGGUGAAAUUCGUAGAUAUCAAGCAGAACACCUGCGGCGAAGGCGGCCUUCUGGACGAUGACUGACGCUGAGGUGCGAAAGCGUGGGGAUCAAACAGG
rnacentral:rRNA from 1 species